GCUGGGCAUGGUGGCGCGUGCCUGUAAUCCCAGCUACUCAGGAGGCUGAGGCAGGAGAAUUGCCUGAACCCAGGAGGCGGAGGUUGCAGUGAGCCGAGAUCGCGCCAUUGCACUCCAGCCUGGGUAACAAGAGCGAAACUCCAUCUCAAAAAAAAAAAAAAAAAAGGCAUCUCACUUCGUCACCCAGGCUGGAGUGCAGUGUUGCCAUCUUGGCUCACUGCAACCUCUGCCUCCCAGGUUCAAGUGAUCCUGCUGCCUCA
rnacentral:SRP_RNA from 1 species